rnacentral:rRNA from 1 species
GAUGAACGCUGGCGGCGUGCUUAACACAUGCAAGUCGAACGAAGCAACUUAUUACGAUCUUUUCGGAGUGACGAUUUGUUGACUGAGUGGCGGACGGGUGAGUAACGCGUGGGUAACCUGCCUCGUACAGGGGGACAACAGUUGGAAACGGCUGCUAAUACCGCAUAAGCGCACAGUAUCGCAUGGUACAGUGUGAAAAACUCCGGUGGUACGAGAUGGACCCGCGUCUGAUUAGCUAGUUGGUGAGGUAACGGCCCACCAAGGCGACGAUCAGUAGCCGAUCUGAGAGGAUGACCGGCCACAUUGGGACUGAGACACGGCCCAGACUCC